ACCCCCUGGCAAUGGGCCAAGAGCCAGCUGGUUGGUAGUGUUGUUUCUAUAUCAGUCAGGGGCAGAGCAGAUGGAUGUGCUUGGUUCACCCUAGCUUGAUGCAUGGCCUGGUAGACAAAGCUGUCUUAUGUCUAGGAUUCAUGA